rnacentral:rRNA from 1 species
AUUCCAGCUCCAAUAGCGUAUAUUAAAGUUGUUGCGGUAAAAAAGCUCGUAGUUGGAUUUCUGUUGAGGGCGACCGGUCCGUACCAUGUACGCGCAUCUGGUUCGGCCUCGGCAUCCUCUCGAUAGACGUUUCUGCGCUAGAUUGCUUGGAGCGGAUUUCGGGACUUUUACUUUGAGGAAAUUAAAGUGUUCACGGCAGGCUAUCGCCAGAAUACAUUAGCAUGGAAUAAUACUAUAGGAUCUCGGUUCUAUUUUGUUGGUUUCUAGACCCGGGGUAAUGAUUAAUAGGGACAAUUGGGGGCAUUUGUAUCAACACGUUAGAGGUGGAAUUCUUGGAUUGUGUUGCGACAAACUACUGCCAAAGCAUUUGCCAAGGAUGUUUUCAUUGAUCAAGAACGAAAGUAAGGGGAUGGAAGACGAUUAAAUACCGUCGUAGUCUUUACCAUAAACUAUGCCGACCAGAGAUGGGGCAUCGUUCACUUACGACUUGCUCCGCAUCUUAUGAGAUAUCAAAGUCUUUGGGUUCCGGGGGGAGUAUGGUUGCAAGUCUGAAACUUAAAGGAAUUGACGGAAGGGCCCCCCCAGGAGUGGAGCCUGCGGCUUAAUUUGACUCAACACGGGGAAACUCACCAGGUCCAGACAUAAUAAGGAUUGACAGAAUGAUAGCUCUUUCUUGAUUUUAUGGGGUGGUGGUGCAUGGCCGUUUUUAGUUCGUGGAGUGAUUUGUUUGGUUAAAUGCGUUAACGAACGAGACCUUAACCUGCUAAAUAGGAGCGCAUAUCUUUGGAUAAGCGCCUUUCUUCUUAGAGGGACUGCCUGCGUUUCAGUAUGCGGAAGUUGAGGCUAAA